rnacentral:rRNA from 1 species
UGGGGAAUAUUGCGCAAUGGGGGGAACCCUGACGCAGCCAUGCCGCGUGAAUGAAGAAGGCCUUCGGGUUGUAAAGUUCUUUCGGUAUUGAGGAAGGUUGAUGUGUUAAUAGUACAUCAAAUUGACGUUAAAUACAGAAGAAGCACCGGCUAACUCCGUGCCAGCAGCCGCGGUAAUACGGAGGGUGCGAACGUUAAUCGGAAUAACUGGGCGUAAAGGGCACGCAGGCGGUUAUUUAAGUGAGGUGUGAAAGCCCCGGGCUUAACCUGGGAAUAGCAUUUCAGACUGGGUAACUAGAGUACUUUAGGGAGGGGUAGAAUUCCACGUGUAGCGGUGAAAUGCGUAGAGAUGUGGAGGAAUACCGAAGGCGAAGGCAGCCCCUUGGGAAUGUACUGACGCUCAUGUGCGAAAGCGUGGGGAGCAAACAGGAUUAGAUACCCUGGUAGUCCACGCUGUAAACGCUGUCGAUUUGGGGGUUGGGGUUUAACUCUGGCGCCCGUAGCUAACGUGAUAAAUCGACCGCCUGGGGAGUACGGCCGCAAGGUUA